rnacentral:rRNA from 1 species
AAUCUUCCACAAUGGACGAAAGUCUGAUGGAGCAACGCCGCGUGAGCGAAGAAGGUUUUCGGAUCGUAAAGCUCUGUUGCGAGGGAAGAACAAGUACGGGAGUAACUGCCCGUACCGUGACGGUACCCCGUCAGAAAGCCACGUCUAACGACGUGCCAGCAGCCGCGGUAAUACGUAGGUGGCAAGCGUUGUCCGGAAUUAUUGGGCGUAAAGCGCGCGCAGGCGGUCUUUUAAGUCUGAUGUGAAAGCCCACGGCUCAACCGUGGAAGGUCAUUGGAAACUGAAGGACUUGAGUACAGAAGAGGAAAGCGGAAUUCCACGUGUAGCGGUGAAAUGCGUAGAGAUGUGGAGGAACACCAGUGGCGAAGGCGGCUUUCUGGUCUGUAACUGACGCUGAGGCGCGAAAGCGUGGGGAGCAAACA